rnacentral:lncRNA from 1 species
AUGUCACAGCUCUGCUCUCUGGACGGAAGUUCCACUGCUCCGCAGUGCAGUCGUGGGGCAAACGUGAAGCUCUUUUCCAGUCUUAGGCCUCUCCUUUUCUUUCGCUGGAUUUCAGCAGGAGCUGAGGAACAUCUAAAAUACAGGCUGCCUAUCGCUAUUCAAUCUCGUCAUCGUAAAUUCAUUGAUGAUUCUAUGAAACCCAAUGCUCCUACCGGAAGCAGUUCUAGAAUGAACAUCAUCCUCAGUUUCUUCUUCAUUAUUAUUGUCCAUAUGAUCAUCACUGUCAGCACCCACAACGUUUGUCAAGCACCAAAUAGUGUGAGCUGUUUGCCUUGGCAUUGGAGAUGAGGUAACAGAAACUUUUAAGCUUAGAACUUAAAAAUCUGUAACAUUGGCAUUUUUUUCACAAGCAUUUUUUGACCAUCUAUCCAACUAUUUAAAAAAUAUUUAUUGCAGGCCUACUGAACUGAGAAUACAAUGUUGAAAAAGACCCAGUUUCCCACAAAUGUUCACAGCAGCAUUAUUUAUCACAGCCAAAAGGUGGAAGCAGACAAAUGUCCAUCAAUGGAUGAAUGGAUAAACAAAACGUGGUACAUAUAGUAGAAUGUUACUCAGCUAUAAAAACAAAUGAAGUGCUGAUAAUGAAUGAACCUUGAAUACAUCAUGCUAAACGAAAGAAGCCAGACACAAAAGUCCACAUAUUAUGAUUCCAUUUAUAUGAAAUAUCCAGAAUGGGUAAAUCUAUAGACAGAAAGCACAGAUCAGUGGUUGCCAAGGGCUGGAGUGGAUGGUUAUAUAGGGAGUGACUGCAUCUUGGGUACAGGAUUUUCAUAAAAAUGUUUUGGAACUAGAUACAGGUGGUGAUUGUGCAACAAUGUCAACGUAUUAAAUACCACUAAAUCAUACACUUAAAAUGGUUAAUUUUAUGUUAUGUGAAUUUCGCCUUAAUAAAAAAUUGUUUUUAAAGACCCACUUCCUAUUCCUCACAGUCCCUCACUUCCUAAGUUUCAUGUUCAAAGUCGUACGGUCACCCAAAGACUCUCUAACGUAAUGAGGGAGACAGACGACAAUUCUGUGGUGGAGCGUUAGUUGAUACCAUUGAAAGCUGUAAAGUGGAAAAGGAUAUGAAAACUAUCAAUAGACCAAAGCUACAAUGGGAUUAGCAGAGAAUGUAGGCACUGCAGUCGGAAUGCUUCUUGGCCUAGUCCUUAAUUAGCAGAGUUUGUUUUGUUUUGUUUUGUUUGGGGUUUUUUUUAGCACUACUUGGCAGCCACCAGGUUGAUGGAGGAAGAAGGAGACGCGAGGAUGAAUGUGACAGAGACUCUGCCCGCCGUCCAACCCUCCCCGCCACUGGCUUCCAAUCUCAUGGGGGAGAGACCCAUCCACAGAUAACUGAGAAAUGAGAUGGAAUGAUAAACCAUGGGAGGGAGUCACACCACCAUCUCUGGCGCCAGCCCAGGAGGAGGCAGGGAGAUGAUCUCCACCCGAGAGAAUGAAUCACUCUAUACCCAUGCAGGGCCCGAGGGCAACCGCCGAGAGCUGAAGAGGACUCCAUGCCCCAGACUUCAUCCUGAAAGCGUAUUUGAUCCCAUUACUAAAGGAGGCCAGUUAAGCACGUGGCAAGUUGUUUCCCAGUUAGAUCAACAACUUGCUGAGAAUUAAGGAUGCAUCCAAAAUGCUAGCUGAUUCUGGUCUCCUUAUUUUUCUCUCCCCGGAAGUGCCCACCUGGCUUUCCACAUCCCCUGGGACUCUACGUUGGGAGUGGAGGCACUGAGGGGAAGGGAACCCUGUAUCUGGGGUUUCACUCUGCCAGAGAGGGUCCUCGAUGCUUUCCCUGAAGUCUCUCUCGCAGGUGUCCUUUGAAAUAGGGAUUAGGACCAUCCCUCUUUUGCAGAAGAGGUCCAGAAAGGUUAAGCAACUUGCCCAAAUCACACAGCCUAUAAAGGGUAGAACCAAGAUUUGAACCAAGACCUGUGUGACGGCACAGGCUCUGCUCUGUGUGCCUCAUCCCACAGUCUCCCCAUCUGGGUAAGAAUCAGUGCAGAGGACAUCAACCUCAACCAGGGCAAGCCCUCCGACUGGAAACAUUAAAGGAAAAAUUAGUGUAAAGCUGAAAAUGUUAAGAACCAUAGUUUAAAAUAUUAUGCACAGCACAGACAUUGCCCUCCCCUGGGUGACCCAGGUCACUUCCUCGAGACCUGAGCUCACCUUUCAGCAAUAGGGGCCAGCUAUGGAAACCUGCCACUAGGGGCAGAGCUGCCACCGAUCAGAAGCCAGAGGGCAGUGGGCGGCAGGAGGGGAGCACAUUCAGCCCACAGCUGUGUCAUGUUAGGCCUUCAUACCAUUCUUUUUUAAUUUUGGAUUUUGAGGCAAAUGUUUAAAAUUCAGGAGAUUUUACAUAAAAUACAGAUUUCUGCCUUCUCUUGACAAGCCAUGCUGGACCUGAAUUCCUGAACAUUCCCAAGAGUUGGGUGGCCAUGCUUGAGCUGGGCAGCCUCCAUCAUUCACAGGAUCUCCCUGGCUCCUCUGGGUGGCUGUGACCUUGACCGCUGCCCAAAGUCAUGUCCUCAGCACCGAGCUGAGACCCGCAAGGUUUCUGAUGAAGGAGCAAAGUGUAGGCAGACCUGAGUUCCACUCCGUCAUGAUGAAAAGGCCAGAACUGGCAUUUUAAAAAUUCAUCGUCUUCUAAUAAUAAAACUCUGUAUUUACAGAGAGCCAUGCUUCUGAGAACAUCAGGCUUGUGCAAACAUCACUCCGGGAAUGUUCACAACAGAGGCUCAGGGAAGUGAGAAGGUGACUCGGACUGGGGUCUCUGCAGUUAAAAGAAACAGGCACGAAGGAAAAGUGGCCUGCUCCACGCGGGGUGGACAGCGGCCAGAGGGAUGGGUGUGUGCUCAAAGAACGAAUAUGUGCUGAGCGCCCAUGUGAACCAGGCACCAAGGAAGCCAGUCUUUGCCCUGGGGAGCCUCUGCCUGCUGAGUCCUGCGCUCGAUCCCUUAUUCCUUGACAGUAAACAGAUGGUGGUAGAGGGAGCUGCUCCUUCGAGAGCCAGAGGACAAAGUCUACCUUUGUCACUUCCUGCACAUCCACCCUUGUCUUGCACCCACCCUCUUUAUAUCAGGCUCUGAGCCUUGGCACAUUCUGGUCCUUCUGCAACUUGUCCAGCUGGCAAGGGCUGCUCAUCCUUCUGGCCUUGGCCCAGGGACCACCCACUCUGUAAAGCAAUUAUCGUAUCAUUUGAUAAUUCUUUUCCAGUCUCCCCACUGGGCCAUCUUCUCCAUGAGGGGAGGAGCACGUUUGUGGGGGGCAUCUCCGGUUCCCUGGCGUCGUGCUUCCAGGUGGAAGGGCUUCAGCCGGAACAACAUUCCUGGCCCUCCUUUCAUCCUCACUCAUUCCUUCCUUGCAGAGGAGUAAAUGGUGAGUUGAAUUGGUGAGCUUGGAGAGAGCCUGGUGCUGGUACGUUGGUCUCCAUCCUUCCUUUCUUUUUCAGGUGUCACUCCUGUGGAGGAGCUCGGUUAUCAGCUCUCAGCCUGGCAGUGAGCGUCCUGGGCAUGCUUUGCCCUGUGGGGGAGGCUGCGGUCGUUCGGCUCUGCAGUAAUGGGUUGGGUGAGUGUGGGAAACAACAGGAGGCUGCGUAUCUAAGCCCUGUCUCCAAUCCAGCUUUUACCAAUAACAAGGCUGAUAUUUUAAUCUCCAUCUGUCAGACUCUUGAAUGCAUCUCUCUAUUGGUUUUGAACUCAGAGGAUGGAACAGGAGUAUGAUUUUUCUUUCCUAGAACCAUAAUAGCAUCUCUUUUCUAGCCCCUGUGCCCAGCAUACCGCCUGGCACAGAGCGGGUGUUCCCCAUCUGUUGGAUAACGAAUUAGUCGAAGGUCUGGGGUGGGAGGCCUCUGCUUCUCCUCCCUCACUACAGGAAAAGUGCAAAGCACACCCACUGCCAUGGGCUGAUGAGUCCACGUGCUUUCCAGGCAGGAGUGGAGGCAGGGGAAGCCCCCAAUUUCAUUGGCUGAGGCUUCCUCUCUUUGAGGAGAUUACGUAUGAAAUGGAAUUAGCCUCAACUUGAAAAGCAAGGGGCAAAACCCCUAUGGAUCUUUUUAUCAGAAGAAUAGAAACAAUGCGCAUUUGAUAUAAUUUAAUUCUUUAUCAGGGAUGGAAAUUACUGUUCAAAUUUUUGUUUAAAAAACUCUCAGCUGUCUAAAAGACACAAACAUUGAACGCCUCUCAGCCAAGCUGUGGCUCUGCACACAGGACUGUGACCCGACUUCCAAGGUGUCGGCUGAGGGCUGGAGCUCAGGUGGAAACUGUAGUUGGGCAGCGGUGAUCAUUGAGGCUGUAGGACAACACAAGCCCCAGGGAAUGACAAGGUGAAAAAAUGUUUUUUAAAAAGCAUAAAAGGGAAAAUAAUAAGAGGGACACAAAAGAGAUCUCAAGACAUCUAUCGACAGGAUGGUGAAGGAGACUGUAGAAUUUUCCCCAAAAAAGUAAAUAAAAAAUGUUAAAUUAAAAAUUAAUUGACAAAGUAAGCACCCCAUCAUCAUCAGAAAUUUCUGCUGACUUGGUGCCGAAGUAGGAUUGGCUCCUAAAAUGAAAUCUUCAAGGCCACAAAACAGAUAUUUUUCUUUCCCUGUCAUUUUUUUCUGUGUGGGGGAGGGAUGAUGGAGGGUAAGAACUGGAACCCCCUAUCACGCAGGAGGGGUGCCUGCCUGGGAGGGAGGGUGGGCCAGCAUCAGGAGCAGGAGGCGCCGGGUCUGCUUGAUGGGAAAAAGAAACAAAACAAAAAGACAGGGGGCCCAUUGAUUAAAUGCAGGUCCCAUAGGAUACGCUCCCAUCUAUCCCUGUUCUUUUCGUUGCAACUCAGUGUGCUGAGAUGGGGUAGCUACUGCUUCAGGACCCAGGUUGGGAUGUUGUCUCUUCCGCUUACCCAAUUUUGAUGUUGGGCAAAUUGAUUAAUUUUGCUGUGCCUCAGUUUCCCCAUUUGUAAAGCAAGGAUAAAAGCAUUUAUUAUCUCAGAAGUUGUUGCGCAAAUUAAAUAAAACGAUAUUACAUACCCCACCUAAGAAUAUCUUAUCACCUUGUUGUGGAUCCAGAAAUUCCAUCCUUAGAAAGCUUCUCUCUCAUGCACCUCUUUGGAAAUCAGCCAUUUAGAUUGCUUCCUCGUGCUGUAGCUGCCCCAGGAAGCAAGGUCCUUCUGGGAUGGGCUGCAGCUGGCACUGGGGUGGAGAAGGCUAACAUGAUAGUCAUAACUACUUCCAUGAACUGAGCUGUUCGUCUGUUCCGGGCAGGAGUCCAUCCUCCCAACAACCUCAUGAAGCGGGUACUCUUACCUUUGCACAUAAGGAAACCAAGGCACGGAGAGGUUAAGUAACUCUCUUCAUGUCACAAAUCUAGGCACCGGAGCCUGGACCUCUGGCUGAAUUAGCUGCCACGUCUUCUGAUCACUGUCUCUCUUGCCAACAGGGAGCGGAGGCCCCCUCCCUCACCCUCACCCAGCUGCAAGGUCAAGUGGAGGGCGGGCAUCGAUGCUCCACAGGUGUGCUGUGUCUGCCUGACCAACAGCUUCCAGUGCACACACUCAUGUGUGUAAGCCUGUUCCUGCGCCCCUGCCUCUGCUGACUGGACCCCAAGGAAGGCACCUGACCCAAGGGCCAUAGUCAUCUGGCUUAGAGAGAUGGGCUGGACCAAUCAAAUUCCUUUGCUCAGCAAUUCAAACUAAGAAAGAUAGAGACGAUGCAUUUACCUGCUAGUUGCAAGAUCCCCAGCUGAAUGGUCCUGCAGUCGAGUUGGACAUGGGGAGAACUUGCCUGGAUGGAAGGGCCUGCCCAUGGCCCAACAUAAAGAAGCAGAUGAGAGGUGUGUGGCCAUGUCUGACCAAGGUGAAGGGCCAGAAUGAAGGUCCCCAGAUCCAGGGGUGUCCCCGAGGGGCUUGGCCUGAUUAUAGCUCCAUGAAGAUCUCAGGAUGGACUCUGUUUUAAUAGUGCUGGCUGAGUAGGAGCCUCUUUAUUGUGACCAGCUGAACCCAAUCCUGGUAUUUAGUAAUCUUCUACAAGAUGCCAUCUGAUUGCAGAUCUCUGACAUCAGAGCGAAUCAGCCUGGCCGCGGCUCUAGCUUGGAGUGGGGCCGACCGAUGGAACCAUGGGGCUGAUUUGUGUGGUUACCAGGCCUGUUUUCUUAGGGUGGUGGGGGAGGUAUAUGAUUCUGGGAGGAGCCUCUAAAAGAAACACUUAAGACCUACUCAUAGGUAAGUGACAAAUGCUUCUUAAUUCAGAAAUUUCCUCCUGGGGUCAGCAUAUACAUAACCAUUCAACAGAUAUUCAUUGGAUGCGGUUGACGUUCAACUCAUUGUGCUACGUGCUGAGAGUGAUCCAAAGAUAGAACAUUCAUGAAGCUGUUGUUCUAGACUUAAAAUUUUGAAAAAAAGCAUGCACUGUAGAAAUCAAGAUAAAAAGUGAUCAUUGUCAUCAAGAUGUACCAAUAAAACACCAUAGGCAUUCAGAGAAGAAACCAACCACUUCCUUCUGGAAGGAUAAUGUGAAAUGUUGAGGCCAAGGUGAUAUUUUGUCUGGCCCUUGCCCCCUUGACCGACAGGUAGCAGUUGGUGUUUAGCUGGAGAGUGAGAAGAAAAGGAAAGAAUCUAAAGUGUAGAUGCAGACUGAGGCCAGAUCUUAGGUGAUGAAAAAUAUCAAAUGUGGAAUCUGAGUUUUAUUCUGAGAGCAAUGUGAUGUUGCUGGAGGGUUUUGAACAGAACAAUGGAGGGCAGAAGUAGCCUUUAGAAAAACUACCACAGAUUGUAGGAGGGAGGGAAGCCCUAGUGAAGCGUGAGGAACUUUCCACAUCUCACCGAGUUGUGGGGAGGGCGCGCUUCCCACCCCGGGGCACAUUUACUUCUGUUCCCUCCCUGGGGUCUAAAGGAGCUUUCCCCUCACUAACAAAUUCCUUUCCUCCUCCUGACAGACCCCUGCCUCCCUCCACCGCAAAACAUUGCCAAAUGGAUUUAAUUCAAAUUCUAUGUAAUAAAAGCAUAAGGGCAAAAUAAAUGAGAAUGCUUUAAGUAACAUGCUCUGGCAUCUCAUAAAAGCCUCUUAAAUUGAUGACAUAAGAGCGCAUGGUGUAGACUCCAGAAAAAGGCGGGUUUUAUGGGAACUCUGGCAGAGCCCCAAAGUGGAGUCGCGCUGCGGUGGCUGCAGUCAUAACUCUUCCUCUUAUCACGUUUUGUGCUUGGGAUGCUGCACCCUGCACAACAAGUUUCCCUUCCCUAACCAGGGCAUAGGUUUAAAAACAAAAACCCGCAGUCGUUAGCAAUUCCAGGCAGCUCUGACCAGGCUCAUUAUACCCGGCAUCUUGGCUGCUAGAAUCCUGAGGUCUGUUUUGCAAUGAUUGUGAAAACCAGGAAUGUGAAUGAGUUAUCCCAAAGUUGAGAAAGAUCUGUUUUUGCACCAGCCUGGCAGCCCUGGGGGGCUGGUUUUGCACAGCGCUUAGCCGAAUCUGGUAUUCAGUACAGAGGAAAAUGAUGGCACUAUUCUUCCCGCUGGAAAACUUCUCCAGAGGUGGAAAAGAUUUCUUUCCAAUCCCACACUGGAGUCUUCUCUUGUCUGUCCAAUCCUCUUCUACAAGAUGCCAUCUGAGGCAGAUCUCUGCACUCCGAGCAAAUCAGCCUGGCCACAGCUCUGGGCUGGGCAGGGCUGACCAAUGGAACCAAGAGGCUGACCCGUGCCACCUGCACCUGAUUGCUGAAAAAUUGGUUUGAGAG